UACGGAGGGUGCGAGCGUUGUCCGGAAUCACUGGGCGUAAAGGGCGCGUAGGCGGCUCGGUAAGUAGGGGGUGAAAUCCUGCGGCUUAACCGCAGGGCUGCCUUCUAAACUGUCGAGCUUGAGCACGGUAGAGGCAGAUGGAAUUCCCGGUGUAGCGGUGGAAUGCGUAGACAUCGGGAAGAACAUCAGUGGCGAAGGCGGUCUGCUGGGCCGAUAUCGACGCUGAGGAGCGAAAGCGUGGGGAGCGAACAGG
rnacentral:rRNA from 1 species